rnacentral:ncRNA from 1 species
AUCUUCAGGGCGGGGCGCAAUUCCCCACUGGCGGUACAGUCCGCGACCCUCCGCUGUGCGGAGGCUGAACCGGUGCAACUCCGGUACCAACAGUUACAGUCUGGAUGAAAGAAGAGA